rnacentral:rRNA from 1 species
UACGAAGGGGGCUAGCGUUGCUCGGAAUCACUGGGCGUAAAGGGCGCGUAGGCGGCCAUUCAAGUCGGAGGUGAAAGCCCAGGGCUCAACCCUGGAAUUGCCUUCGAUACUGUUUGGCUAGAGACCGGAAGAGGUAAGUGGAGCUGCGAGUGUAGAGGUGAAAUUCGUAGAUAUUCGCAAGAACACCAGUGGCGAAGGCGGCUUACUGGUCCGGUUCUGACGCUGAGGCGCGAAAGCGUGGGGAGCAAACAGG